rnacentral:misc_RNA from 1 species
AACGCACGAGACCUGCGGACCUGCGGAAGGAUCAUUAACAAGCCGUGAAGGGUCACCUUUGAAAAGGGUUAGAUCUUACACCUGGCCACCCUUGUUUAUCUUUACCUGUUGCUUUGGCAGACCUGCCAUUUAGCUGCUGGAGGGGUGAUUUCAUCCUCGGGCUCGUGUCUGCCAAAGACCAAUAGAAUUCUGUGAUUUGUUUGAUGUCUGAGUGUAAAAUGCAAAAUUUUUUUAAAACUU